rnacentral:lncRNA from 10 species
GUACAGAUGACUCCCCAGGUGAGACGGCAUUUGAUUGAGAGCUUAAAACAAGAGUUCCACAGAUGAGGAGAAGAAAGAAGCUUUCACUCCAGGCAGGAGGAACAGUGUGAGGAACUGCCAGGAAAGCUGCAGAACAGAGGUCUGAAAACAUAAGAGAAGCCAGGAAAAUGCAAGUCCUUCCUCCUGACCCUAGAAAAUCUCUGCUGCCAAGGCUGGGACUCUGCUGCCAACUUCAGGCCUGGGAAAACCAAGACUCCAGGAGCUCUACCUCUAGGAUUCUUCCAAACAUCUCACCAUGUCCUCUGAUACCUCUGUAGUCAUCUGCCACAACCUACUUCUGAAUAAAUCCUACAUUCCACCUUUCUG